UACGGAAGGGGCAAGCGUUGUUCGGAUUCAUUGGGCGUAAAGGGUGCGUAGGUGGCGCCGUAAGUCAGGUGUGAAAUUUCGGAGCUUAACUCCGAAACUGCAUUUGAUACUGCGGUGCUUGAGGACUGGAGAGGAGACUGGAAUUCACGGUGUAGCAGUGAAAUGCGUAGAUAUCGUGAGGAAGACCAGUGGCGAAGGCGGGUCUCUGGACAGUUCCUGACACUGAGGCACGAAGGCCAGGGGAGCAAACGGG
rnacentral:rRNA from 1 species